UAUACCCACAAUUGUGUUUGCUUACAUCAUAAUCAACCUUUAUGAAGAGCAGCCAACAGCAAUAAAAUGGAUACAAGAAACAGACCAGAUCCUAUUUAUGAGAUGAAGAUUAGCUACCGAACAUACUUUCAAAGAUUUGAGGCCAUUACUGAAGCCUGGCGAAAACAGCACGUAGCUCUUGAAACAUUUUCUGAAGAACACUUGGAAACUCUGAUUCCUGGCCUAAGCUCUACCGUGGCAUUUUCCUCUCAGUGCCCUUUAUGGCGAAGACUCAUCCUUUUUUCAUCUGUUAUAUUUAAUUAGAGUCAUCAGAAUG